rnacentral:rRNA from 1 species
AUUGAACGCUGGCGGCAGGCCUAACACAUGCAAGUCGGGCGGAUGGAGGGAGCUUGCUCCUGGAUUCAGCGGCGGACGGGUGAGUAAUGCCUAGGAAUCUGCCUGGUAGUGGGGGAUAACGUCCGGAAACGGGCGCUAAUACCGCAUACGUCCUGAGGGAGAAAGUGGGGGAUCUUCGGACCUCACGCUAUCAGAUGAGCCUAGGUCGGAUUAGCUAGUUGGUGGGGUAAAGGCCUACCAAGGCGACGAUCCGUAACUGGUCUGAGAGGAUGAUCAGUCACACUGGAACUGAGACACGGUCCAGACUCCUACGGGAGGCAGCAGUGGGGAAUAUUGGACAAUGGGCGAAAGCCUGAUCCAGCCAUGCCGCGUGUGUGAAGAAGGUCUUCGGAUUGUAAAGCACUUUAAGUUGGGAGGAAGGGCAGUAAGUUAAUACCUUGCUGUUUUGACGUUACCAACAGAAUAAGCACCGGCUAACUUCGUG